rnacentral:lncRNA from 1 species
UUUAAGACGCGUGGGACGCUGAUCCCCGGAUGUUCGCUACUAUAAAGCCUACUGGAGACACUUGUACGCUACCCCAUCUCCGGCAAAGCGCAAGAUAACGAUCAUCAACAAACCCUGGUUUGAAAGCUCCAAACACCUGCAGUGAGAAUGAGCACCAUUCAGCCACAAAUCAACGUUAUCUUGUACAGCAAUGCCAACCUUAAUGGCGACUGUGUACCAGUCCAGGGAGACAUAUCGGAUUUGGCUGGCUUUAAAAACCGGGCACAAUCCGCCAUUGUAAUCAAUGGAAAUUGGGAGCUGACAAGCAGUGCGGGAAACACUUAUGCUAUGACCGAGGGCACCGGAAAGUAUACAAGCCUUGGCGGUUUCAACCAAAAGGCCGUCUCCAUCAGGCGAACAUAAGGCGACGUUGCCAUGAAGCACGCCCUUUCAAGGAAGGAUGGAUUGAACAAGAGCUGACAUAGCAGCCACCUUAUUAGCGCAGCUUAAUGCUUUUUCCUUGUUAUAUACUCCAGAUCACCUUGCUAUUAAUGUCCAAUAUUUAGAUUUGCUUUAGUGGGUUACACUCACUGCCUUUAAGAACAGAAUUUGAAUUCAAAAUCAUCAAUGGUCAUUAUUUCAAUGAGCAAUUACAGAAUUAUAACCCCAAAUACGUUGCCGGUAAUUUCUUAGUGAAAUUCUAAAGAUCGAAAAUACAACGCAGGAAAUAAUUGUUCUUUUCUAUUCUGUUGCUCUUAGUGUAACACUAGCAUUUCCGUCUGUACGCCUUGCAUCACAUGUGCUGCUAUGAUCUGUCUAUUUUACAACGAAAACUCAAAGGAUGCAGUUGACAUUUUGUUGUCGUCUCAAACUGACGUAGAUGUACUUAAAGCUUCAACAUGUGUCAGUAUCAGAUUAAAUUAUAAGGAACAGUCCAUGUUUCUGCAUUCGCUACUAUUUUAAAUGAUAAUGAAAGUUCUUCUCUCAAGUAGUUUCAUAUGGGGCUUUGCGGUUUAAAAUGUCAUUUCACACCAAACUGAAACAGGAAAUAAAAAACAAAACUCAAUUUAUACUUUGACUUGGUCAUCGUUCGUUGUUGAAAAUAAAUAUUCGAUGAAAUAUAAA